GGGCCUAUAGCUCAGCUGGUUAGAGCACUUGACUCAUAAUCAAGGGGUCGUUGGUUCAAGCCCAACUAGGCCCACCA
rnacentral:tRNA from 1 species